rnacentral:lncRNA from 1 species
CGAAUAUAUAAAUAAACUACAACAAAUAUAUUUAACACUGGAAUACCAAACUUUAUUAAUAUAACUAAAAUUCAAUACACUAUUAUUGAAUAAUACAAUUUGAUCCACACUUCACAAUUCUAAACAAAUAAAUUACAUGCCCUCUAUAUAUAGAGCACGAAAGGACGGAACUUUUCGUGAAACGACGCAACUCUUUAUGAAACAACACAACUUUUCACUAAAGGAUAUGACCCUAACUCAAAAGAGGCAAUCCUUACAAAAGGACACAUCCUUUCAUAAAAAACACAACUCUUCAAAUAAAAAAUAAACAAAUAAAAUGAGCUUAUAAACUAACAUAUAUAUCAUAC